UACGUAGGGUGCGAGCGUUAAUCGGAAUUACUGGGCGUAAAGGGCGCGUAGGCGGCCCGCUAAGUCGAACGUGAAAUCCCCGAGCUCAACUCGGGAACUGCGUCCGAUACUGGCGGGCUUGAAUCCGGGAGAGGGAUGCGGAAUUCCAGGUGUAGCGGUGAAAUGCGUAGAUAUCUGGAGGAACACCGGUGGCGAAGGCGGCAUCCUGGACCGGCAUUGACGCUGAGGCGCGAAAGCUAGGGGAGCAAACGGG
rnacentral:rRNA from 1 species